rnacentral:rRNA from 1 species
CAGCAGCCACGGGAAUACGAAGGGGGCUAGCGUUGUUCGGAUUUACUGGGCGUAAAGGGCGCGUAGGCGGACUGAUAAGUCAGGGGUGAAAUCCCAAGGCUCAACCUUGGAACUGCCUUUGAUACUGUUUGUCUUGAGUUCGAGAGAGGUAAGUGGAACUGCGAGUGUAGAGGUGAAAUUCGUAGAUAUUCGCAAGAACACCAGUGGCGAAGGCGGCUUACUGGCUCGAAGCUGACGCUGAGGCGCGAAAGCGUGGGGAGCAAACAGGAUUAGAUACCCGCGUAGUCCCUGUCUCUUAUAC